AAAUCUAUGCUAUUCAUUUUAUUUAUAUUUUUAUAUAAAUUGAAUACUAUCGGUAACAAACGGACUCUAUUGUGACCUAUUUAUUUUUUAUGAUGGAGCUUCCAAAUCGACGAUCGGCACUGUUGAACAUGAUCUAUACCACUUGCAGUAUCUAUAAAUCAAAUUUUAUACUUUUCUGAUAUUGUUCUCUAUCCAUCAAGUGGAUAUAAAAAUGAACGGCUGAAAACGCAUAUCCUCUAAAAAAUGAUGAUAGAAAUUUUGUAAUCAAGAUCGAGAGUAUAGAGUUUGUUCUAAAUAGUUUUAAAAAUUUUCUAUUCAAAAUCCAAUUGAUUUGGAUUGUUUUAUACCUUUAAACAAGAAAACGCCUUAUAUUUACCAUUAAAAUUACAAAUUUUAAAACACUCUGAUCAUUAGAGCAAUAAUCUCGAAAAGAUUUAAAACUUGGUUUUGAAAUACUUCAAAUGGUAUAGAUUAUGCUCAACAAUGCCGUUCAUCGAUUUGAAGGCUUUUAUUAUUAAAAAUAAAUAGAUAGCAACAGAAUUCAUUUGCUACUGAUAGGAUUCCAGCACAAAUCUUUUGAAAGUGGAACUGGUGAAGGUGGUGACCGGGGAGGAACAAGAU
rnacentral:lncRNA from 1 species